UGAUGAGUUUGUUUGGAAAUUUCCUCCGUAGUGACCCACAGAAACUUCUGGCUUGACAAUAUACCAGCGAUAUUUUUGACAGAUUCAGCAAAUUUCCGUGGAGAUAUGGUGGAAUGCUACCACAAUCCUUGUGAUGAUCUAGCUACGAUGCUUACUGAGGACAACAUUAACUUCCUUGGGAAGACAUCAGAUGCCAUUGCAAGAUCAAUCAAUGAAUUGUCAGAGCCAACCAAACCCGAAACAAGUGGAUUUACCAGAGUAUCUCUAAGCCGUGUGACUUUUGUUUUGAUUGUGUUGGCCUUUUUUGUUUUAUAAUACGACGCUGUUUCUGAUGAUUGUUUGUUUAAUUAGCAUAAUUAAUGGUAAAAGUAUGACGCUUUUUAGUUACCUCUGUUUUAUGUAUGGUAGAUUUGUUUAUUAAAUUUACAUUUCUUUCUCAAUCCUUUUCCACACUAUAUACAUUGAAACAGUUUACAUUAGUCGAAAGAUUAGAGCAUAUGGUUUGUCAUUGUGUUAGUGACAUUUGUUUCCAUUCUUUCAUGAAAGUUUUAUACAUUUAAACACUCGUCACAUAUUUUAUAAUGUAACACGAAAUAGUGUGUUCACGAUAUGUUUAUAGCAUUUUUCAAUACUAGUAAUUCAAGAAAGCUUUGUUACAUUUAAACAUUUGUCACAUAUGUUUGAUGUUACACAACAGAGUACAAGAGUGUUGUUUUGCUAAUGUCAUUUUGUCAAUCAUUCGUGAAAGCUUUACACAUUUAAACCUUUGUCUGAUAUCUUAUGGUGCACACUAUUGCUGUGUUUAUAUAAUUUUUGCAAUUUUUUAUUAAGCCUUUGUGUGUAAUAUCAUCUGCUUUUUAUAUUUUUCUUAGUAUGUUCAUAUAAAGAACACGACAAUCUGACUUAAGUCCAUAGGAAAUUUUAGAAUAUUUCGCAAAAAUAAUGUUUGAAAAGAUAUUUGUCAAUCACUGAUUUACAGUUAUAAAAUGACAACUGUACACAUUUUGUACUUUCGGUUUCUUCCACUAUAACUAUGAACUGUUUACAUUUAUAUCUUUAAAUUUACUAAAUUUUGGUGGACUUUGACUAGGUUUAUUGGAAUUUACUUAGUAGAAAACUCCCAUCGUUAAAUUACUAUUAUUUACAUGUUUAUUUCUUAGCGUAGGUAAGAUCGAAAUACCGUAUCCGUUCUGUGUAGUCAUACUAGUGUGUUCAAUGACCUUGUUGAUUUUCAUAAGAGAAAAAAAUGUUGGAAGUACUUUGAAAAAAAAAUGAAAUAAAAUUGGAAAUAAUAGAGUCAAUUUUUUAAUGGGCGAAAUUGUUUUGCCAGUUUACCUUUUGGCUAUAUGAACAACGCUAUUUUUGUUCGUGAAAAUUAUCUACUCUGUUCUUUCUCAGUAUUGGUUUUCCAGCGGUAAAAAUUAGAAACCGUAUCUCUUUCAAAGUUUAGAAAGUUCACCGAUGAUUGACUGUUUGGAAGGGCACGAAAAAAUGAAAUAAUAUUAGUGCCAGUCAGAUCAUUAUGCGUUACAUUUUUUAAUCGUAU